UGGAAUGUCAUGAUCAGCUGAUAUCGCUGGAACUUCCAAACUUGGUUGGAUAUGGAUUUCACUUCAAAGAAGGUUUCCUUGGAAAAUGUAUAACAUUAUGAAACAUUGUUUUUGGAAAUGACAGAGGGCAAAGUUUUAUCACUUUGGAGAUUGCUGCCUUGAGCCUUUCUAUUCCCUGAUCCACUACUAAGGUUGUUUAUAUCACCCCCAGGCUGGCGGUUCAUCAGAUCACACUCUCUUCCAUCAAAUAUAUUUUCCACAAGGUCAAUCAAUGUUCUGAGGGUACUGUGAGAGAAUGAAAAACAAGCCCAAGAAAUCACAAGUGGCAGCUCAAUGGUUUCUUUGCCUUUGAUCCCAACUUCCUAUUCUGCCUUGAGCAUGUGCUUGUUGGGUACUCUUGAGUUUGUAAGCUCCUUGCAGAGGAGACUUUUCCUUAUUGUUCAUUUGUUCAUAGAAAAUACUUUGGAUCAUAGACAUAUGAAUUAAAGCUGACACAAGUUAGAAAAGAAUAGGUCUUCUACUCCUGUCUUCAUAUCUCGGAUCCAAUUCUUACAAAUUAUUUCUCUAUUUUUUUUUACAAGACCUGCUCUGCAAUACACACUGUACAUUCCAAUUCUCUUAUUAGGCACCCCAUUUCACCUCAUGUGAAUGAAUACUUUUAAUAUUUUACCAAAUCUGUACACUAUGAACUGCUCAAACUAGUCCCUCAGCUACAGCAGAACUGUAACAUUCAGGUUAAUCUUUGGAUACACCCUAAGGAAAUUAUUUGUAGUACCCAUUCUCUCUCUUGAUACCUCACCUCCCUUUAUAAGAACAAAUGAAAACUCCUGCAAAAAGCUUUCCUACUCACUUAAAUCUUUCCCUGAAAGCUCCUGGGUGAAACUUGUCUGGGCCUGGUACUUGUCAGUUUUCAGUGCCGUUGUUCUAAUGAGCCUCUGCUGUCACCAGUUUACUAAAGGCCUGUAGCAGCCCCAGUGAUUACUUUGCUCAUUAGUUUCUCUCUCAUCUAUUUGAAAAACCUCUUAGUGUUUCUGUAUUUCUUUUACAGUUUCUGUUGCUACCUUGGCCUGCUCAGUUUGCUCAUGUUUUUCCCUGAUGCACCAUAGGUUCUGUCUUCCAGUCAUUUACCUAAAAUGCCUGUGUUGAGUUACUGUAUAAUCAACUUUUUACUAUCCUCCAAAUUUACUAAUAGAUUAGAACAAAGAGCCUUCUCAACCAGCAGCCGUGUUGAUGGCAGAACCAGGUCAGGAGCACUAAUUGCUAUUAUGGCCCUACUGUGCAUUUUUUCUCACCAUCCUCUCAAUGGCUUCCUCUUUAUAGCUUUACUGCCCUGGCUUCUCUGGCAGUGCUGGAGCUGCUUGCAGAGGAUACCUUUCCCUUCAAAACUGGCUGCCCACAUUGAGGGGGUAUGAGAGGAUAGGGAAUGGCACUUUCCCACUCCCUGACCUCGCUCUUGAUUCUGCAUAAUUGAUGCUGUUGACUAAUUGCUUUAAAAGAAAACACCUACCAUCCUCAAGGAGUAGCUAGCAAUUACUACUGAUAAUCAGUAUACUUCUUCCCUAACCACCAUGUCUCACCCAGAUUAUAGAGUCAGCCUUGCAAUGUGCUUUCAGCCAUGCUGGAUUGGCAAUACUGCUGUUCUAGUGACUUCUAUCACAACCACGAAUAUGCCAUUUUGGACUUCCGUGCUUGCUAAUGAAUGCCUAUUCGUGUUAAAUUCUAUUCAUAUUUGCUACAGCAAUAUUCACAGCAGUCACAUUUUUCAAGAAAAUAACUAUGUCUGGCAGUAGUACAGGGGCAUACCCAGGCACCAAGGACACGGGCAACAGCGACUUCCAUUUCCUGUGCAAUCAGGAUUGCGCUGGAAGCAGCUGCUUUUUUCACACCCUCCUACCAAGUCAGCGCCUGGGGUGGUUUCCCUGUUUGCCCUGCCCUAGUUACAACACUAAUGGCUGGUAGAAGGGGGAAAAGCAGCAUUGUGCUUAACUUCAGUGGCUUGUGCGGCUUUUAGGCUUGAAUUUCCCAUGAAAGAUUAUAUAAGCCUGAUUUGCCUUUUAGUUGAAAAGCUCAAGCUAAGCUGGACAUUCUCAGGACAUGUUCUCAGCAUUGUUAGACUUCGCUGAAUGUACAUUUCCAUGAGACUCUGAUUACUACAGUAUUACAGCUCGCUGGCAGACAGCAUUAACAAGAGAUUUUAAACCCUUUUUUUCUGUCAGUCAGCUGGGGAGAGCAGGAGGGGGAAAAAAGCCAUGUCUUAAAGCAAGCUAGCUGCAGAAAAGCAGAUCUAUUUUAUUAAAAGCUGGUGCUACUGAUAAUCUACAUCUUAUUUUAAUCAAGUGCUACCUUUUGCUCACGUAUAAACAAAGUUGGACACAAUAUCACAUUUUGGAUUUAACAAGAUUUAACAAAUACAUUUUAUUUCUAUGUCAUAGCCUGCUGGUUGAGUGAGCCCUUCAGUACUAAGGGAACAGCAUGUACAUUUGUAAGAACUGGAACGCAGGACUGAGAAGGCAGAAUGGAAUACAGAGCAACUAGAAGGGGCCCAAGAAAGUAGAGUUUAAUUCACUGUGCUCUGCAUAACUAAAUGACACAGAGCAUGCAGUCCCCUUAUUUUUCUGACAUGGAAAAGUGAGAUUUGUAACAAUUCUAUGCACAGUACUGUGAACUAUGUAAGUGACUGCAGGGCUGUCCAACUGGUGGCCUCUGGGCUGUGAGCAGCCAGCACUUGGCCUGCAGAUGGCAUGUAGUCUACAAACCUCUGCAUCUGCCUCUUCCACUGCCAUGUGGUGGGACUGGGACACGGAAAGGGGCUGGGUGUCACUGGCACUGUCCACACAAUACAGGGGACUCCAGGGGGUGGGGGUGAAGAGUCACUCCCACAGCCCCUGGCAGUGCUGAAAUUGGACAGCCCUGGAACUAACCCAAGGGGAAAUUUAACUGUGGCAGUAUUAGUCAGCCAUUAAAGAGGCUGGACUGAGUCUGACUAGUACUGCCAUAGUUCACAUUCAUUCAUCUCUUUAUGGUCAAGGUAUUUAUUAUAUUAGGAAGUGUUUUAUAUGUUGGUAUAGGAACAUGGAGAGAGGAGAGCUGGUUUUAUUUUCCUUUAAUUCCAAGAUUGCCCUUCCGAUUUCUCACGCAGGCAUGAUCCUAUACACAAAGGUGCACAUGCACUCUUUGAGAAACACCCUAUGAGGAAGCCAUGCUCUCAAAAGAAGUCACCGGUUUGCAAUUAAUUGCUUGUUUUGCAUUAUACUUUUUAUUCAUUUGCAUGGGGUUUAUGCAACAUAAUCUUCCCAUUAUAGCAUAUGCAACAUUUCUUAUUACCUAAAUUCACAAUAACUGUGAGCCACCUUGCAGGGGAAAAUUCAGGCAGUUUACAUCAGGGACCAGACCCAGUUACAUCUGACACAAUCCUACCUGGAAACUUAACUUUCUGUCCAAACCAUGAGACCUGAGAUCCAGGGCAUGUGCCUCCUAGAAUGCUUUUCCCUCACAGCCCACACCUGACCCAUAUUCAGGAAGGACCAUCAGAAGCCUCUCACUGGGCAGGCUUUUUACUGCCAGCUGGCAUAACUAGCAGCUAGCCUGCCAGCAAGGUUUUCCUGCCGCUUUUCUGUAAAAGGGUGGUAUUAUGGAGAGAAAGAAGUCAUAGGAGUUUUGCUCUCUAAACUAA